UACGAAGGGGGCUAGCGUUGCUCGGAAUCACUGGGCGUAAAGCGCACGUAGGCGGAUUGUUAAGUCAGGGGUGAAAUCCUGGAGCUCAACUCCAGAACUGCCUUUGAUACUGGCGAUCUCGAGUCCGGGAGAGGUGAGUGGAACUGCGAGUGUAGAGGUGAAAUUCGUAGAUAUUCGCAAGAACACCAGUGGCGAAGGCGGCUCACUGGCCCGGUACUGACGCUGAGGUGCGAAAGCGGGGGAGCAAACAGG
rnacentral:rRNA from 1 species